rnacentral:rRNA from 1 species
CCUACGGGGGGCUGCAGUGGGGAAUAUUGGACAAUGGGGGGAACCCUGAUCCAGCCAUGCCGCGUGUGUGAAGAAGGCCCUCGGGUUGUAAAGCACUUUCAGUGAGGAAGAACGCCUGGUGGUUAAUACCCAUCAGGAAAGACAUCACUCACAGAAGAAGCACCGGCUAACUCCGUGCCAGCAGCCGCGGUAAUACGGAGGGUGCGAGCGUUAAUCGGAAUUACUGGGCGUAAAGCGCGCGUAGGUGGCUUGAUAAGCCGGUUGUGAAAGCCCCGGGCUCAACCUGGGAACGGCAUCCGGAACUGUCAAGCUAGAGUGCAGGAGAGGAAGGUAGAAUUCCCGGUGUAGCGGUGAAAUGCGUAGAGAUCGGGAGGAAUACCAGUGGCGAAGGCGGCCUUCUGGACUGACACUGACACUGAGGUGCGAAAGCGUGGGUAGCAAACAGGAUUUGAUACCCGGGUAGUC